CCUACGGGAGGCAGCAGUCGAGAAUCAUUCACAAUGGGGGAAACCCUGAUGGUGCGACGCCGCGUGGGGGAAUGAAGGUCUUCGGAUUGUAAACCCCUGUCAUGUGGGAGCAAAUUAAAAAGAUAGUACCACAAGAGGAAGAGACGGCUAACUCUGUGCCAGCAGCCGCGGUAAUACAGAGGUCUCAAGCUUUGCUCGAAACCACUGGGCGGAAAGCGUGCGUAGGCUGUUUCGUAAGUCGUGUGUGAAAGGCGCGGGCUCAACCCGCGGACGGCACAUGAUACUGCGAGACUAGAGUAAUGGAGGGGGAACCGGAAUUCUCGGUGUAGCAGUGAAAUGCGUAGAUAUCGAGAGGAACACUCGUGGCGAAGGCGGGUUCCUGGACAUUAACUGACGCUGAGGCACGAAGGCCAGGGGAGCGAAAGGGAUUAGAUACCCGAGUAGUC
rnacentral:rRNA from 1 species